UUACCUGGGCUAGACAACGGUGGACCGUCCUAGAAAUAGGAUUUUCCCUUCGGGGACUGCCGGUUCAGGUGCUGCAUGGCUGUCGUCAGCUCGUGCCGUGAGGUGUUGGGUUAAGUCCCGCAACGAGCGCAACCCUCGUCCUUAGUUGCCACCAUUCAGUUGGGCACUCUAAGGAGACUGCCGGCGUUAAGCCGGAGGAAGGUGGGGACGACGUCAAGUCAUCAUGGCCCUUAUGUCCAGGGCCACACACGUGCUACAAUGGGCGGUACAAAGGGUUGCAAACCCGCGAGGGGGAGCUAAUCCCAAAAAGCCGCUCUCAGUUCGGAUUGGAGUCUGCAACUCGACUCCAUGAAGUUGGAAUCGCUAGUAAUCGCGGAUCAGCACGCCGCGGUGAAUACGUUCCCGGGCCUUGUACACACCGCCCGUCACACCAUGGAAGCCAGCUGUACCGGAAGUCGGUGCGCCAACCCGCAAGGGAGGUAGCCGCCUAUGGUAUGACUGGUGACUGGGGU
rnacentral:rRNA from 1 species